UUUGUGGUAAAGCAGAGUGCUCACUAUAAUGUGGGUGGGACUUAUCUGAUCAGUGAAAGGCCUAAAUAGAACAAAAGGCUGACCUCCUCUGAGCAAGAGAAAAUUCUCCAGCAGACUGCCUCAGACUUCAUCUGCAACAUUGCCUUGUACUAGUUCUACAGUAGAUUGCCUUUCAACUUGAAUAGCAACGUUUUCCUGAGUCCCCAGCCUGCUGGCCUCUCCUAUCAGAUUUUGGACUUGCCAAACCUCUACAGUCUGCCUGCAUUGGCCCAAAAUUCAACUCUUAUUUUAGUUUUCUACCUCACUGCAAUACCUUCUGAACAUCUUUACAAUGUCAGCAUCCAAUUUCACACUGUGGCUUCAUACCAUAGGUGACCAGGUUGCCACCCAGGAAUCAAAAAUUCCUCACCGGAUGUGGAGAAAUAGGAAUGCUUUUACACUGUUGAUGGGAGUGUAAAUUAGUUCAACCAUUGUGGAAGACAGUGUGGCGAUUCCUCAAGGAUCUAGAACUAGAAAUACCAUUUGACCCAGUGAUCCCAUUACUGG
rnacentral:lncRNA from 1 species